GGAACAGGAGCAGGUUUUUCCGAUCGGUUUGAAAAAGCUGUAAAAGAAAACUUUGUGAAAAAUUCCUUAAAGAGCUCUAAAGAAGCUUUUCCUGCUAAAGCA
rnacentral:rRNA from 1 species